rfam:Schistosoma curassoni strain Dakar, Senegal genome assembly, scaffold: SCTD_scaffold0002447
AACUUUUCGAAUCUGUGCUGAGAUUUCUUCUGACACCAACCCAUUAGGGCUUAUCAGACUUCCAAGAUAGGUGAAGUU